UUUCCUUUGAAGCAAGGAGGAAAAGCACAAGGUGACAUGGCACUGAAAACUCCAAAGCUGAGACGCUGUAGUCGUUUUAGAUACUGUGCUGCAGCCCCGUUUGAUCUGUCUUCUCAGAUCCCAGAAGACAUAACUGAGAGAAGAUCCUCAUCUGUUAGCUCCCUCUGUUGGCAUUGUCCCUCCCUUAAGAGUUCCCUUUUUUUUUUUUGCUUUGUCUUGUACAUUUGUGUUCUAGGUGUGUGGGAGACAGGAGGCCCUUGUCCUGUGAGCCAUUUCUGCCCAGAAGGAGCCAGCUUUCCCUUAGCCUGCCUUGCAGGGACCUACAACAACCUCACCAGACAAGCUGCAUGCUUCCCUUGUGCCGCAGGAUACUACUGCCCAGAGAAUACUACCAGCUACAGUGUGAAUCCUUGCCCAGCUGGCUUUUACUGCCCUAAAGGAACCAGGUUUGCUACCGAGUUUCCUUGUCCCCGGGGCUACUUUAACCCCGAUCCCAUGACACAGAGCUUGGACAGCUGCUUGCCCUGCCCACCUGGGCAUUACUGUGGGAAGGAGAACUUGACAGCUCCAUCAGGCAAGUGUGAUGCAGGUGAGUCUGGAUCUGUUUGGCUGUUGUAGUGCACAGCACGGAGAGGCAAUGUCUUAGCAAGGUUAAUG
rnacentral:lncRNA from 1 species